GGGGGUGAUCGGUUUCGACGGUGGUCGACACAUCAGGGGAAGCGGGUCGAGGAUGCAGGGUUAUCUCGUAAACGCUCCUUGCAAACCAAUAGGUGCCAACUCAAAGCGCACCGACUUCGCCCUCGCCGCCUGAGCGAGCUCCGAAGUCCGUCAGCCUGAGCUAGUUUCCGACUCAGUGCCUGGCGUCAGCUAGGAAACUUGCUGCGUGGUCAUGUUGGGGGGCCACGCGGGACUCUUGCUCAACUGGGCCUGUCAGGGAACGUGUGCGCGCGAGCCCUGGGGCCGAGAAAAGCCAUAGCGCACUGCACCCGGAGAAGCCCUGGUUUCUCGUCAUCGGACGCGGGUUCAAUUCCCGCCACCUCCACCA
rnacentral:tmRNA from 1 species